UACGUAGGGCGCAAGCGUUGUCCGGAAUUAUUGGGCGUAAAGAGCUCGUAGGCGGUCUGUCGCGUCCGUUGUGAAAACUCGAGGCUCAACCUCGGGCUUGCAGUGGAUACGGGCAGACUAGAGUGCGGUAGGGGAGACUGGAAUUCCUGGUGUAGCGGUGGAAUGCGCAGAUAUCAGGAAGAACACCGAUGGCGAAGGCAGUUCUCUGGGCCGUAACUGACGCUGAGGAGCGAAAGCGUGGGGAGCGAACAGG
rnacentral:rRNA from 1 species